rnacentral:rRNA from 1 species
UUCUGAGAUCAGUCGAGAUUACCCGCUGAACUUAAGCAUAUCACUAAGCGGAGGAAAAGAAACUAACCAGGAUUCCCUUAGUAAUGGCGAAUGAACAGGGAAGAGCUCAAGCUUGAAUCUUCGGAAUUGUAGUCUAUAGGUGGGAACUCGUACAGACCCGGGUAUAAAUCCGUUCUUGGAACUGGGUGCCAGAGAGGGUUAGAGCCCCGUCUUUGACUCGGUGUAUGUGCGUGGCGAGUUUUUGCUAGAGAGUCGGCUUGCUUGGGAAUGCAGGUCAAAAUGGGUGGUAAACUUCAUCUAAAGCUAAAUAUUGGCGAGAGACCGAUAGCGAACAAGUACUGUGAAGGAAAGAUGGAAAGAACUUUGAAAAGAGAGUGAAAUAGUGCUUGAAACCGUUGGGAGGAAAGCGAAUGGAGUUGCUAUACGACCAGGGUGUCUCAAUCUGGCACGCAAGUUGGUUCCGGUGUAGUGACCCUGUGUCUACGUUCGUGGAGUGGUACCUGUCCUGGCGCGUGACUAUUCUAUCAGCAAUGAUAAAAUGAGUGCUGACCAGACGACGGUGGUCUCAAAGAAUUUAUACCGAAAAAAAAGAUGAAAAAUCCCAAAAUUCUACAUUUUGAUCAAAAUAUCUUUACUUUGUAAAUACCGCAAGGCAGUUGCAAAAAAAGAUGGAAUUGGACAAAAUAAUGAUAUGACGUGAUUAAUUAUCAAAUAUUUUUUUCGGAUGAUAAUACGGACGGAAGGGCUUCAUUCGACCCGUCUUGUAACACGGACCAAGGAGUCCAGCCUCCACGCAAGUGCUUGGGUGGAAAACCCCAGCGCGCAGUGAAAGUAACAGCGUGAUAAUCUUAAUAAUCAAAAAAGAUUAUUCUGCUACGGCGGGAAUAUGUAUACGCACCGCCAUCCGACCAGCCCUCCUUUUUAGUGGCUGGCUUGUGACUGAGCGUGGAUGCUGGGACCCGAAAGAUGGUGAACUAUGCCUGAAUAGGGUGAAGCCAGAGGAAACUCUGGUGGAAGCUCGUAGCGGUACUGACGUGCAAAUCGUUCGUCAAAUUUGGGUAUAGGGGCGAAAGACUAAUCGAACCAUCUAGUAGCUGGUUCCCUCCGAAGUUUCCCUUAGGAUAGCUGGAGCUCAUACAAGUUUUAUCAGGUAAAGCGAAUGAUUAGAGGCCUCGGGGGUGUAACAUCCUCGACCUAUUCUCAAACUUUAAAUAGGUAAGAGGUCCUUGCCACUUAAUUGGGCAUGGGCAUUGAAUUGGAGCUCCAAGUGGGCCAUUUUUGGUAAGCAGAACUGGCGAUGCGGGAUGAACCGAAAGUUGAGUUAAGGUGUUUAAUUGUCGGCUCAUGUAGACCCCACAAAGGGUGUUGGUUCAUAUAAACAGCAGGACGGUGGCCAUGGAAGUCGGAAUCCGCUAAGGAGUGUGUAACAACUCACCUGCCGAAUGGACUAGCCCCGAAAAUGGAUAACGCUCAAGCCGACAACCUAUACUCGACCGUUGGCGUAAAUGCGAUGCGCCAACGAGUAGGAGGGCGUGGAGGUUGUGGAUCAGCUUUGGACGUGAGUCUGAGUGAAACGGCCUCUAGUGCAGAUCUUGGUGGUAGUAGCAAAUAUUCAAAUGAGAACUUUGAAGACCGAAGUGGAGAAAGGUUCCAUGUGAACAGCAAUUGGACAUGGGUUAGUCGGUCCUAAGAGAUAGGGGAACUCCGUUUAAAGCGGGCUUUGCCCGCGCCUAUCGAAAGGGAACCGGGUUAAUAUUCCCGGACAAGAGUGUGGAUAAUGCAUGGCAACAUCAGUGAACUUCACGACGACGGUGGGAGCCCUGGGAAGAGUUGUCUUUUCUUUUUAACACGCUAUCACCGUGGAAUCGGGUUAACCGGAGAUACGGUUGAAUGCGUGGCAAAGCACCUUACGUCUUGAGGUGUCCGGUGCGCUCCUGACGUCCCUUGAAAAGUGAAGGGAAGCGUUCAUUCUCACACCUUGCCGUACUCAUAACCGCAUCAGGUCUCCAAGGUGAGUAGCCUCUGGUCGAUAGAAUAAUGUAGGUAAGGGAAGUCGGCAAAAUAGAUCCGUAACUUCGGGAAAAGGAU